rnacentral:rRNA from 1 species
UCGAGAAUAGUCUACAAUGGACGAAAGUCUGAUAGUGCGACGCCGCGUGAACGAGGAAGCCCUUCGGGGUGUAAAGUUCUUUUAUAUGUGAGCAAUGCUUUAUAUGUGAAUAGCAUAUAGGGAGAGAUAUUAGCAUAUGAAUAAGCAACGGCUAACUCCGUGCCAGCAGCCGCGGUAACACGGGGGUUGCAAGCGUUGUCCGGAAUUACUAGGCGUAAAGGGCAGGUAGGCGGAUACAUAAGUUUGAUGUUAAAGGCAGCGGCUCACCCGCUGUACGGCAUUAGAUACUGUGUAUCUGGAAUGCGGUUGGGGAAGACAGAAUUCCUGGUGUAGCGGUGGAAUGCGCAGAGAUCAGGAGGAAUACCAAAGGCGAAGGCAGUCUUCUAAGCCGUAAUUGACGCUAAACUGCGAAGGUGUGGGUAUCAAACAG